UCCUCUGCUUUGUGACCCAACCUUCAGGGCCUCUGCCAAUCCCGUGGAUCCCUUCAGAUGUUCGCCAUCUCCCUAGGAGCUGAGAGAAGCCACCUGGUGGCAGGGGAAGUCAUUCUUGUCCCCGCAUCUUAACAAGCCUCAGGACACUUCAGAUCUGCUCAAAGGGCACCGCUGAAGUUAUUCCUGAAGAGCAAGGGCUGUGACAACCUUCUCUCUCACCUGCAAAUUGGGCCAGAAUCUUUCCUCCUUUGGAAUAAAUCUCACCUAGAAGAUUAUGGUGUAUCUGAAGAUUAAGAUUGGUGUAUGGUGAAGAUUAAGAAGAUUAAAGUGUGUACACCUUAUGGUGUAUCACCUAAAAGAUUAUGGUGUAUGAGACAGAGCAUGAGC